GGAGAUGUAGUUCAGCGGUAGAACACUUGCCUAGCAUGUAUGAAGCCCUAGGUUCCAUCACCA
rnacentral:tRNA from 1 species